GUCUACAGCCAUGCUACCCUGAACAAGCCCAAUCCCGUCUGAUCUUGGAAGCUAAGCAGGGUCAGGCCUGGUUAGUACGUGGAAGGGAGACCACCUAGGAAGACCAGGUGCUGUAGGUG
rnacentral:rRNA from 1 species